CAGGACGAACGCUGGCGGCACGCUUAACACAUGCAAGUCGAACGAGCGAAAGGUGCUUGCACCUCUAGCUAGUGGCGGACGGGUGAGUAACACGUGAGCAAUCUGCCUUUCGGUGGGGGAUACCAAUUGGAAACGAUUGUUAAUACCCCAUAACAUAACGAAGCCGCAUGACUUUGUUAUCAAAGAUUUAUUGCCGGAAGAUGAGCUCGCGUCUGAUUAGGUAGUUGGUGAGGUAACGGCUCACCAAGCCGACGAUCAGUAGCCGGACUGAGAGGUUGAACGGCCACAUUGGGACUGAGACACGGCCCAGACUCCUACGGGAGGCAGCAGUGGGGAAUAUUGCACAAUGGGCGAAAGCCUGACGCAGCGAUGCCGCGUGAGGGAAGAAGGUUUUAGGAUUGUAAACCUCUGUCUUUGGGGACGAUAAUGACGGUACCCAAGGAGGAAGCUCCGGCUAACUACGUGCCAGCCGCUGC
rnacentral:rRNA from 1 species